UUAUGGACUCCACUACACUGCUGUCUGUGGUGGGCGGGGCUCUCCUCCUGUCAAUCAUCCUUGUAACCAGUCUUUGUACAUACUGCUGGGGACAUAGACAACCAACAUCCAUCCAUCAGAGGUCCAGUGACUCAGAAUACCCCCCAAGUAAGAAAUCAAAUCUUGUAUAGCCACUGUCUUACAGGAUCUUAUAAAUAUAUACAUACAUUCAAUAUAUAUAUAUAUAUAUAUAUGUACAUACAUUGUCACAUUCUGUGAACUAACUUACUAUUGUAGUUAAGUUUUUUUUUUUUUAAGUUUGUAUACAUUUUGGUUCUGAUGUCCCCAUAUCCCACAUCAUUAUAUGGAAUGCAAAAACUUUGAAGCUCAAUAUCUCGAAACUGCUCAGAAUACAGACAGAACCUUUUAAUUCCAAGAUGACGAUAUUGUUUUAUAUGCGUGUUGGCUCAACAUUGUCUCUCUUCAUACAGAUCAGGUUUUGUGGUUCGGCAUCCCGUGUCGACAUAUGCGCCCCAUAUGGACCAUACCAGAAUUGUACCUUACCAACAUUCCAAGUGAGUUCACACACAGACCCAGAUAUACACACAGACUGUGUUGUUCUUCAGUGUGCUAAUAAACACUCUUUCCUCAGUUCUCUUGGUUCACCAUCUAUCACUGUCACAAAGGUGCACUCCUGUCCUCCCUCAGAAACUGGAAGUCAAGCCAGUUAUGUGAAUCAAAACGGUGAGGAGGGAAUCAACAUUCAUGACAAUCAUCAUGAGAGUGGCGAUGAGCGGAGCAAUCGGCCUCAAAGUGAAUACAUGUAA
rnacentral:lncRNA from 1 species